UUAAUUGAAGAGUUUGAUCAUGGCUCAGAUUGAACGCUGGCGGCAGGCCUAACACAUGCAAGUCGAGCGGUAACAGAAAGUAGCUUGCUACUUUGCUGACGAGCGGCGGACGGGUGAGUAAUGCUUGGGAACAUGCCUUGAGGUGGGGGACAACAGUUGGAAACGACUGCUAAUACCGCAUAAUGUCUACGGACCAAAGGGGGCUUCGGCUCUCGCCUUUAGAUUGGCCCAAGUGGGAUUAGCUAGUUGGUGAGGUAAUGGCUCACCAAGGCAACGAUCCCUAGCUGGUUUGAGAGGAUGAUCAGCCACACUGG
rnacentral:rRNA from 1 species